UUGUACCAGGCCUAGACUAAAUACCCUCAGCCCAGCUUCAACAGGGUUAGUCCCAGGCCCAGCCUCAACAUCCUUAGACCUUCCUCAACAGGGGCAGCACCAAGCCCAGCUUCAACACUCCCUGCCCAGCCUCAACAAGGGGGGUGGGGGUGUUAUGAUCACUACUGGCUUCUUCUCAUGGAACUGGCACAAUGAAAAGAGACCUGGUGUUUGGGAAAGAAGACUGAAACCUCCUGCUCUGACUGAGGAGGAUGAAGAACAAGGUGCGCUGCCUAUGGACUGUGCCACCUCUGAUCAGGUCCAGACACGUGAUUACUGUGCAGCCCCUGAACCCGCAACCCUGGACACGGCCCUAAUGGCAAAUCAUGAGCACGUAAGAGAAAUUGAGGAGCUUCGAGCCAAGCUGGAGAAACUGACUGCCCAACACAGCUUUGGUGCGAUUUUCUGGUUCUGACGAGGAUAUGCGUUUUUACACAAGAUUUGUAAUCUACACCUACCGGAUGGCCUUCUGGCACUUGACUGAGCGGGCAGCAGAGACCAAGUUUAAAAGUCACAAGCACCAAUCCAUCUGAAACAAGUGUUACUCGAAGAAAACUGACACUGCCAUCAAUCGACGAGUUCUUCUUGUUUAUGACUCAUCUGUCGCUGGGUCUGAAGCAGAAGGAUUUGGCCCAUUGGUUCAGCAUCCACCAAUCGACAGGGUUACGGAUUAUCAUCUCUUGGGCCAACUACUUCUACUGUCUGCUUGGAUCAGCACGGAUAUGGAUCCCCAGGGAAACCAUCAAAGCCCACCUGCCACCCGAGUUCAAGGACUAUCCAGACACCCAGGUAGUGAUCGACUGCACUGAACUCCGCUGCCAGACAACAUCUUCACUACUACUGAAGAGUGAGGUGUUUUCUUCCUGUUACAGGAAUUAAAUUCCUCGGUUUUAAUACCCAAUUAAAAUUAAUCACUCUGUCAAUUCAUAAGAGUCUGUAAGACCCUUAUUUGUAUAAAAUGGACAGAGACCAGUCUUUGAAAUCAACCAGCUGUAACGGUAUUCCUGUGGUGAAGUAGAG